rnacentral:rRNA from 1 species
AUUGAACGCUGGCGGCGUGCUUAACACAUGCAAGUCGAACGCGAAAGCGGCUUCGGCCGUGAGUAGAGUGGCGCACGGGUGAGUAACGCGUGGACAAUCUGCCCUCAUGAUCGGGAUAACAGUUGGAAACGACUGCUAAUACCGGAUACGCUCUGGAUGAACAUUUGGAGGAAAGACGGCCUCUGCAUGCAAGCUGUCGUAUGAGGAUGAGUCCGCGUCCCAUUAGCUUGUUGGUGGGGUAACGGCCUACCAAGGCGACGAUGGGUAGCCGAUCUGAGAGGAUGAUCGGCCACACUGGAACUGAAACACGGUCCAG